rnacentral:rRNA from 1 species
GGCGAACGGGUGAGUAACACGUGGGUGAUCUGCCCCUUACUUUGGGAUAAGCCUGGGAAACUGGGUCUAAUACUGGAUAGGACCAUGCUGUAGGUGGUGUGGUGGAAAGAUUAGUUUCGGUAAAGGAUGAGCUCGCGGCCUAUCAGCUUGUUGGUGGGGUAAUGGCCUACCAAGGCGUCGACGGGUAGCCGGCCUGAGAGGGUGGACGGCCACAUUGGGACUGAGAUACGGCCCAG